ensembl:lncRNA
CGUAAUUGUAACCUACGUUGUUGGAGAGAGAAAUAACAUCAUGGAAGAGACAUAAACCCAAAGAUCGAAAGAAUUGGGAGAUUUUAACAACUUGGUGCCGUGACCCGGAUCUUUGGCGUGCUGAGGAGGGGCAGAUUUGGCCUGUGGUGAGAUCGUGGGGCGAGGCGAGCAGAGGACCGGUCCAAACAAAAGGUAAGCACAGCCUGUUGUAUUAUAAAUACCAAAUGUGCAUAUUGGGCUUUCCAAAUUAAUCUGUUCGCUGAGUUACACGUAUUUUCACAUUAAAUUUGUCGGUGUCUGGUUUUUGGCGCAAGAUACUAACAUCAUAAGUUGAGGCUGAAUUCCAGUGUCAUAGGAACUGCCUCUAACAAGAUACUAAAAACAUUCUACGUUGAGUCUAGUUGCAGCCCACUUUACCUUCCACAUUUAACUUUGUCUAAGACUGGCUUCUGUAGCAAUAAGAUAUUAGAAUCUCUUUCGUUGAUGCAGCCAUAAGUCCAGUACAUUGAAUAGAGGUUUUGAAGUUGGUUUAUGGUGACGGUUGAGCCCCCGUUGAUGCGGCCAUAAAAUUAGUAUAGAAUUAAGGUAAAGCAGAUACUGG